AAGCCGCACAACCGAAAUUCACCGCCUUUAAGGGCGCCCGGACCUCACCGGAUGGGUGCUCAGCUGCUCGUGCCGCGGCGCGGCCGCUUCUGCCGGUUGUCAGGCUGUCGGUGCCCGGAAUGAAGAGAAGCCAUUGUCGCCAAGGGCUUUUCUCCCCGAAAGGGAUUUACGGAUGGAAUGGAGAUGUGUGUGACCGGGGAGAGGUUUCCUGCCCGGAAAAAGCAAGACAUCACCCGAAGCUCCUUCCCCCAUUCCUGCACUUCUGUACAGUGGUGAGGAUGCCAUGCUCAUUUUAAGCCCACCCACAGCCCCACUGGCAGCAUACAGGAGGGAAAGAGAUCCCAGGCCAGCCACCAAACCAAACCCAGGGACCCAGUGAUUGGUUCAGGAUACACAGAUGACCCCAGUGGGUCCCGUCAGAGUUCUCAUGCUACUAGUUGGACUCAGAAGGAAAGAGAGCCUUUCUCCUCUUUGGAUUAUGAAUGGUGGGAAUGUCAACCCAAGACUUUUCAGCAAUUUCAAGAAAGGCUGUACGAAGCAGGAGGAAGAGAAUAAAUCCAGUAUGCAAAGAAAAGACACAGAAACAAGGCUGAGGUGAAAAAUGAGAGGAAAAGAGAAAAGAUGACAAUAUUGUUUGAUCCCUGGAUUUGGCCAUGCAAAUAAGUAAGCCUUUCCCUAGACUUCAAAUUAAAUGAGUGGGAGUUUCUGGUUCUUGCAAUACAAAGAACCCUGAUUAAUACAACUUAUUGGAUUAUUUAAAUAUUUCUUUUUUUUUUUUUUUAAAGUAGGUUCCACACCCAACAUGGGGCUUGAACUCACAACCCUGAGAUCAAGAGUGGCAUACUCUACCGACUGAGCCAGCCAGGUGCCCCAGAUGAUUUUAACAUUUCUUUAAUACCAUCAGUUCCACCGCAUACAAAACUGAGGCAUUUUACGACUCCGCCUUUGUGAAACAAUAAUGUAAGUAAUAAUUCAAGUUGCAAAAAUAGCAAAGACAUUGACCACCUAUUACGUCCAAGGUAAUGCACGUGUGCACAAAACGACAGAAAAAGGCAAACGCGCCAUAGGGCCAGCAAGCCCGGCAGGACAGACCUCCACAAAGUUCACAGCGGGCCCCUGAGGAUAGCUUCUAGAGCUUCCAUAUCAAGGUGAUUUCCAUUUCUUUGUAUGCUUAUCUUUCACCUCCAAAUCUUCCACAGUAAACUAUAUUACAUCUGGAAUCAGAAAAAAAAAAAAAAAAUGUCCUUGAAAAAGACUACUCCAUUUAUCAAACCAAUGGGGCUAUUUCUCAUUAAUUGUUGUUUUAAUAUUAAUUAAGAGCAUUUAUAUAAUGUUGUUGAAAAUCAAACUAAAAUAUAUUAUCUGUCAUAGUAUUUCA